GCACAUGAAGUUAAACUGGUUAGUUUUGGCGUGAUUCACGCCAAGCGUGCCAAGGUGAAAUUGUUUACCGUUAGAAGGUUGUCGUUCACAUUGAGCGGAUCCAGCGUAAGAAGGCCAACGGAACGAACGUGUACGUCGGUUUGCACCCAUUCAUGUGUCUGAUCGUCAAGCUGAAGAUGAACAAGGUUCGCAAGAGGAUCCUGGGUCGCCGUCGCUGGACGCAGGGUGGCGUUUUCCAAGGACAAGGGCAAAUACACCGAGGAAUCGGCCGCGACCCCUGCGAUGAAGGCUAGCUGUUAAGCUCUCCCCCCACAAAUUCAGACCGCGAUCCUUUUUUUAACAAUAACGGGCCUUCUGUGAUUGGCUGUUCCGUUGCAUUCUAAAAGAAUAACAAAUUCAAUUAAAUUUGAUGUAAUACUUCCACAAUUAGGCAGCGGAACCAGCCAAAAGCAGUUAAAGAUGAACGAAAGUUAAUUAGUUUUAAAUAAGAAAUAGAAUACUUACUGAAGUUUUCGAAGCUGAA